rnacentral:tRNA from 1 species
AGAACAUAGCUUAGUAAAAGCACUUCGCUUACACCGAACUGAGGUCCGUUUAACCCCGACUGUUCUGAG